AAGCUGUAAAUACCCUCCGAUUGCUUAACCAAACCGCCCUCAUUAAGUGGCGGUUU
rfam:Scytonema tolypothrichoides VB-61278 scaffold_10, whole genome shotgun sequence.